CGUUUUCAAGAUCUUCGGCCCCUUUCGCCCUCCUCCUCCCUUCUUCUCCUCCUCCCUUUCUCAUUCGUCCAACGUAACAUCCUCGCACAGCGAUGCAUUCUGACAUGGAAAAGCCGGGGGCCGUCUUCCCGCUUACACCUGACGUUUCUUCUAGCUCUGGGUGGACGUUAACCCAUUCCCAGCCAAGCCCGAGAGCUGAUAUAGGAUUUGAGAUCAUCAGGGUAUCGGAUGAAGAAGAAGCCACGUGGAAUGGAGGCUGCUGAUGCAGCUGACUGUGGUGGCUAGCAGUGAAGGCCUCCUCGUUGAUCAGAGAGUUGAGGAAAGACGAGAACACAUCGUCGGUGCAGUAAUUGUUGAUGUCUUCUUCAGCUUCAUGACUUGCCAGCACAUGGCUGCCGAUCCUCAUCAUAGUGUUGCUCAUCCCGUCGGUGUACUUGGGGAGUAAGUUGUUGAUGGGGAAGCUGUUUUCGAACUCGGUGGUAGGGUUGGGGUCUGGCAAAAGCUCCUUGUCGAUUUCUUCAAUUCCUGAGGACGCGGAGUUAGGGUUCGAGGUGGGGGACGGGGAUGGGAUGCUGUGAUUGAUCAAUGGCUUCUUCGAUGAGGAAACUUCUUUUGCAGUCGAGUUUGCAUCCGGGGACUCGUUGUUGCUGUUGUCGGUGCGUUGGUCCUGGUUGAGGGGCUUGUGGGUGCGGGGAUCAAUCCCCUGGCUGAUCAACUUCUUGCUGAGGUGAGUGUUCCAGUAGUUCUUUAUCUCAUUGUCGGUUCGCCCAGGGAUCCUCCCCGCAAUCAGAGACCACCUGCAAGACAAGCACAUGAUGUAGAUGACAAUGAUUAGCUCGGGGAUUGCAUCCGGUUAAACGUAAUUGAUCGGUACUGAGGAUCGAUGAGCUGUGUAAUGCGAAACCCUAAGUCGGGGGAGUGAAUCAGUUGGGACUGAAAGUCGAAAGCUCCGAUUUCGUAACGGCAUGUCGGAUUAUCCAAUUGAUUGGGGUGAGAUUUGAGCUGAUUUUUGGUGCUGUCUGCUGAGUCUAUAUGGAGAUAGAAAGAAACCCUAGAGGGUGAGUGGAGCGAGCGGAGCCCUAGGGGAAUGGAUCGAGGAGUACGUGAUGAUUCGAUUGAUGGAUUACCGGUUGCCGAGGAGGCGGUGGAGGCGGAGGAUGAGGUCCUCCUCGUCGGGGGCGAUCUGGCCGCGCUUGACUGAGGGGCGGAGGUAGUUCAUCCAGCGGAGGCGGCAGCUCUUGCCGCAGCGGAGAAGGCCGGCGCGCUUGGGGAGGGUCCGCCACCGGCCCUCCCCUUCCCUCUUUAUGUAGCUGGACAGCAGCUCGUCCUCCUCGGGAGUCCAUGGCCCCCUCUUCAGCCCCACCUUGCUGCAGCACGGCGUAGUCUUCCCACCACCACCCCCUGCCCCCGCAGCCGCCGCCGAGCUCGGGCUCCUCAUCGCAAAAAUCAGCUCCGAUGCAAGCACACAGAGAGAGAGAGAGAGAGAGAGAGAGAGAGAGGGGGAGGGAGACAGUGGUAGAGAUGAUGAUGAGUCAUGGAAGGGAUGAAGCAUAAAGUUGGAGAAAUGUCAUCCAAACUGCUGUCUGGGAGAGUGGGGAUCACGCGCCAGCUCCGGGCCUUUCUGACCCAAUGGGCCUCGCCUUUGUCUUCUAUGGAUAAUGGCUAUUCCGAAAUUGGAUCAUAUUAUGAAUCUUUCCCGGGUUGUUGAGUUGCCGGCGUUUUGGAAUUGCGAUCUUCUCGUGCUUUUGGAAUCAUGGAAGAGCUUCCAUCAUGGAGCUUCCGAGACGACUUUGAGAUGUAUUAGAUCACCCCAAAGACGCCUUCAGCAUCCCGGGUUCGCGGACCGACCAUAGAGUCCUGUUCAAUAAGCAAAACGCAUUAGCUGUCAGCUCUUAGGUCGAGCAGUAAGGGUCGAAAAAAGGCAAUCACUCAUUCUUAAAAUCAGCAUUCUUAAGACUAAGGAGUCCAGCAGAAAAGGAGGGGAAUUCUCUAUUCAUGAUUCUCCUGUAGUUGGAUCCUCGAAACUACCAAAAUCCUCAAUUAUGAUGAGAUUUCAACUCAAUACCCUUUAAGGUUUUGAGAAAAGUUAGUGUGUUUGGAUUGAUAGUUGAGUUGAGUUGAGUUUUGAUUUUAA